GGGUCCACUGGUCCAUACUCUGACAGAUAAUUAAGAAAGCAGCAGCUUUUUCUAGACGGCUCUUCCUCAUGAUUUGCAUUUUAGCCAGAGGCGACCAGUUAUAAAAAAAACAUGAUGGAAAGAUGGUAAGAAGCCAAUUAGAUGGAUGGAUGGCUGACUGACAGCUCUCUGGUAUUACGACUCCAGAUUUCAGACUACAUAGCCUGGCAGUUUUCUACAAGAACCAACUUUUUUGCAGAUUUCUAAACAAUGAAAGAAGCAAAAUAUUUCAGAGAGUAUGAUCCCCCAAACUUCCACACCAAAUUCAAGUUCCAACAAUUUCAAGUUCCUUUGAACCUUGAAUUAUAGCAUUCAGCUGAGACAUUGUCUUGGCCCAUCAUGUCAAAGAAGACCAAGAGAAUGCUGAAGGAAG